CGGGCUUAUGUGUCUGCCGAUAUCAGUCUCAUAUAUAAAAUAAGGCCUGUGUCCAGUGCCCGUUAUCCCUCCAUGUUCAAGCAGGGUACCAGUAUUAGCCGUGCUUACUUGCUAGAUGUAGACCCUUCAGAAUGUCUGAUGGGCGGAGUGGGUAUACCGCUAGCCGCUGUCCGCCGUCCCUGAGAAGUGUUCCGGGUUGUUUCCAGUUCCAGAC